UGCUCCCACACUGUGUAAAAUCACUCCUUUACAAGGUUUUUUUUAUAUACACCGUGGUUUGGGGUUUAUCUGACAUGAGACUGCAUUUUAGGGGCUUAAGCACAACCUUAUCUUUCCUUGUCCCAGCUGAACCUGGAUUAAAGGAGAAUUGAUCUGGCAGGAGAUUUAUUUAAAUGCCAUCACCUGAAUCCUCAUCCCCACACACCUGGGGAAGCCCUGGGGGGAGUUGUCUGGAGCUGAUGGUUCCUGUUCCACUGUGCUCCCCAAGGAACUGCAGGAAUCCACAGAACCAGAACAUCUUUCCAAGCUGUACCCCAUGAAAUCCAAAGUGUUCCUGAGGACUCUCCGAGCAAAGCUUUGGCAAUUCCAGAUCUUCAGCCAAGAAAAGUUAAACCUGGCAAGCUUCAGCUGAAAAUCCAGCUCUCCCAGAGGAACUGAGUGCAGCCAAAGUGCCAGUUGGGCACAAGCCAACAGCUCUGAGGGACUGAGGGAACAUCCCACUCCAUUUA